AGAAAAUGAUUAUUCCGCAUUAUAUUUGAAUCGUAAAUUCUAGAUUAUGAUGUCUAUAAAUAGAAUUUAAAAAUCUCAUAGCAAUUAUGAUAUGCUAAUGAUACCUUGGACGUAAAACCAGCUCGACAAUAUCGAUUGAACACAGUAGUUUUGUUAUCUUGCGCGGGCCAUCCGGGCCAGUCGGACCCCGUAUUCCAGAGGAAAUUGACAGUAUGAUUGAUUUGAAGAAGACCCAUUGUUGGCAUUCAUGUAACGGAUCUGAGAACCGCAAAGCUUUCCCGCGUAUCACUGAUUCUUACGAAUUCUUCAUCGCUCCACAGAUUUCAACAAAAGGUGUGUAAAGGAAGCUAUUAUCGUUAUUUUAAUCUGAAACUGCUUUUGCGCGUAAAUAUAUUUAUACUUACAAUUUAUUUAGAUUGAUUUGGGGAUAACAAAAUCUAUAUUAUUAAAAAUAUAUCUUUAAAAUAUUCCAUAUAAACUGUAAAAUUCUCGAAAACAGAACUUAAUGUAAAUAUGAAAAGCGCAUGCUUAAUUUUCAAUACAAUCCAAUAAGUCGUGACGAAACCCACUGCGACACUUCUGAUACCUGUUGAAUCCUCGAUACUUUUCCAAUGAUGAGUACAUCUCUUGCAGGUAUAUCAAGAAGUAUUCGCUCGAGACUAAUUAAAGAUUGUUAUUUUGAAAGAAUCAAGCGGAAAAAUAAAUAGAGCAUAAUCACACGAUGAAGAGAACUGAGCGAAGAUGAUAUACGGAUGGAAGUGGAGGCAAGACUGAACGAUGACGACGAGGACACACGCGAGUCAGAUGGUAGAAUCUGAUAUUUCGCAGGCGCGCGCCGCAGGGAUGUUUUAAGGCGCCCUUGUUAAAAGCUAUUGGAUCACAUUGAUAUCUCACCGCGAAAAUCAUUUCAUGAAAUCCCUCGUUCUCUUCCCCUGACAAUGAGCUAUUAAAAAGCCAAUCAUUUGAGACCAAUCGAGAAAAGGUUGAGUUUUCACAGAAAACUCGAUGUAUCUUCGUCGUAUAAUAAACAAAAUUUUUAUAAAA